CAGUGCAGUCACCCAUAAAGUAGAAAGCACUACUAACAGCACUGGAGGGUGUAGUGUUUCCUACUUUAUGGAUGAGUGUACUGU
rfam:Canis lupus familiaris chromosome 9, whole genome shotgun sequence.